GGUCCAUUAGCUCAGUUGGUUAGAGCGUGGUGCUAAUAUAGAGUUCGAUAUCUCUAUGGUACGCCAAGGUCAACAGUUCGACCCUGUUAUGGACCA